UGGGAGACAGAGCGAGACUGUCUCAAAGAAAAAAAAGAAUUUCAUGCUUUGAUAGAUUGCACUUACGUUAGGCAGGUAUAGGACUUAAGAGCAUGAGGAUCAUGCUUAUAUUUAUGACUAAACUAUUUUUCUUCUGUUCCUUCCUCCCCCCAUCUAGUAUAUCUACUUUGGUAUUUUAAAUAUAAUAUGUUUUAUAUUUACACAGUUUCUUUCUUAUGGUCUGGAGAGAAAGCUAAUUUUCUAAAACAUUUUUGGCUUUUUUAUAGGUUGGUCAAAGAAAAAGUGAUGUAUGAAAAAGAGGCAAAACAACAAGAAGAAAAGAUUGAAAAAAUGAGAGCUGAAGAUGGUGAAAAUUAUGACAUUAAAAAGCAGGCAGAGAUCCUACAAGAAUCCCGGAUGAUGAUCCCAGAUUGCCAGCGCAGGUUGGAAGCCGCAUAUUUGGAUCUUCAACGGAUACUAGAAAAUGAAAAAGACUUGGAAGAAGCUGAGGAAUAUAAAGAAGCACGUUUAGUACUGGAUUCAGUGAAGUUAGAAGCCUGAAACUUUUCUCGUAUGGGGUGGUUUUUGCAUUAAAUCCUGGGGUCCAUUUUACAAUCCAUUAUUUUUGACCACUGCUAUGUGUUCAAGUAGUAUGAGAAUGUGAUUGUUUUUAUCUGGUUACAUAUAUAUUUCUUUGUCUAAUUUAAUAUGUCAAAUAAAUGAGUUCAUCUAAUAAAA
rnacentral:sRNA from 1 species